GUACACUCCUACGGGAGGCAGCAGUGGGGAAUUUUGGACAAUGGGCGAAAGCCUGAUCCAGCAAUGCCGCGUGAGUGAAGAAGGCCUUCGGGUUGUAAAGCUCUUUUGUCAGGGAAGAAACGGUGAAAGCUAAUAUCUUUUGCUAAUGACGGUACCUGAAGAAUAAGCACCGGCUAACUACGUGCCAGCAGCCGCGGUAAUACGUAGGGUGCAAGCGUUAAUCGGAAUUACUGGGCGUAAAGCGUGCGCAGGCGGUUUUGUAAGUCUGAUGUGAAAUCCCCGGGCUCAACCUGGGAAUUGCAUUGGAGACUGCAAUGCUAGAAUCUGGCAGAGGGGGGUAGAAUUCCACGUGUAGCAGUGAAAUGCGUAGAUAUGUGGAGGAACACCGAUGGCGAAGGCAGCCCCCUGGGUCAAGAUUGACGCUCAUGCACGAAAGCGUGGGGAGCAAACUGGAUUAGAAACCCCUGUAGUCCCAUGAU
rnacentral:rRNA from 1 species